rnacentral:rRNA from 1 species
CAGCAGCCGCGGUAAAACAGAGGGUGCAAGCGUUAAUCGGAAUUACUGGGCGUAAAGCGCGCGUAGGUGGUUUGUUAAGUUGGAUGUGAAAUCCCCGGGCUCAACCUGGGAACUGCAUCCAAAACUGGCAAGCUAGAGUAUGGUAGAGGGUGGUGGAAUUUCCUGUGUAGCGGUGAAAUGCGUAGAUAUAGGAAGGAACACCAGUGGCGAAGGCGACCACCUGGACUGAUACUGACACUGAGGUGCGAAAGCGUGGGGAGCAAACAGGAUUAGAGACCCGUGUAGUCCCUGUCUCUUAUAA